rnacentral:piRNA from 1 species
UAGGCAACUGAACCUUGUCUGGGCUAUAGUC